rnacentral:rRNA from 1 species
GACGGAGGGUGCAAGCGUUAUUCGGAAUUAUUGGGCGUAAAGAGUGUGUAGGCGGCCGGUUAAGUCAGGAGUGAAAGCCCAGGGCUCAACCCUGGAAGUGCGUUUGAAACUGGCUGGCUUGAGUUCGGGAGAGGGAAGCGGAAUUCCGGGUGUAGGGGUGAAAUUCGUAGAUAUCCGGAGGAACAUCAGUGGCGAAGGCGGCCACCUGGACCGUAACUGACGCUGAGACGCGAAAGCGUGGGGAGCAAACAGG